rnacentral:misc_RNA from 1 species
GCCAUUACCUUGUAUCUGCAACUAAAAAUUUUUCUUGAAGAAGACAUUGGAUUUCUAUGUCUGUUUACAGUUUUCCUUGGUCUUUCGUCCUUUUUUUGGGGGGAAUUGGUAUCAUUAUGGAUUUCACCCUAUUCUUGAGGCUGUGUUGAUCUCCCUUGCAACAUAGCAGUGUCAUUUAAUGAACUUCCUGUUGACCUGACAUUCCAUUCUGCCUUUUCUUUACUUUCACAUAUUUGUAUUAUUUUUAUAAAGCAGAUGUUUAAUGUCUUAGAAGCACUGUGUGCCUGUUAGACUGCUAUGGAUGGAGAUGUUUAACAUUUGCUUAU